CCAGACUCCUACGGGAGGCAGCAGUGGGGAAUAUUGGACAAUGGGGGGAACCCUGAUCCAGCGACGCCGCGUGAGUGAAGAAGUAUUUCGGUAUGUAAAGCUCUAUCAGCAGGGAAGAAAUAGCGACCUUUGGGUCGCCAGACGGUACCUGAUUAAGAAGCCCCGGCUAACUACGUGCCAGCAGCCGCGGUAAUACGUAGGGGGCAAGCGUUAUCCGGAUUUACUGGGUGUAAAGGGAGCGUAGACGGCGACGCAAGUCUGAAGUGAAAUGCCAGUGCUCAACACUGGAACUGCUUUGGAAACUGUGUGGCUAGAAUGCAGGAGAGGUAAGUGGAAUUCCUAGUGUAGCGGUGAAAUGCGUAGAUAUUAGGAGGAACACCAGUGGCGAAGGCGGCUUACUGGACUGUAACUGACGUUGAGGCUCGAAGGCGUGGGGAGCAAACAGGAUUAGAUACCCGAGUACAC
rnacentral:rRNA from 1 species